rnacentral:ribozyme from 1 species
UUUCUGUCCCACAGUCCGUGCGUAAAGCAAUGCCAAGCGGCUAGGAUGUGGCGAAGAAAUGGGAGGGAAACACAUCAGCGUAGCGACCUGAUGGAAAAUUAACUCCC